CUGCACGGUGCACCCCGGGCUUCUCCGAAUCAUCGUUGACGAUGAAAGCCCCAUUGCGCGUGCUAAAGUGUGCCAUUCAGUGUUGCAGUUUAGCUUCGAUUUCUUCAACAGCUGUUCUGUGUCAAAGUAAUGGAUACAUCU